rnacentral:SRP_RNA from 1 species
UUCGGGAGCGGUGGUGCGUGCCUGUAGUCUCGGCUACUCAGGAGGCUGAGGCGGGAGGAUCUCUUGAGCCCAGGAGUUCUGGGCUGUAGUGCACUAUGCCGAUCAGGUGUCCGCACUAAGUUCGGCAUCAAUAUGGUGACCUCCCGGGAGCGUGGGACCACCAGCUUGCCUAAGGAGGGGUAAACCAGCCCAGGUCGGACACAGAGCAGGUCAAAACUCCUGUGAUGAUCAGUAGUGGGAUUGCCCCUGUGAAUAGCCGCUGCACUCCAGCCUGGGCAACAUAGCGAGACCCCCUCUCA